rnacentral:rRNA from 1 species
GGAGUCCAACAUGUGCGCGAGUCGUUGGGCCUGACAAACCCAAAGGCGUAAUGAAAGUGAAGGGAGCUUCCUGCUUUCUGAGGGAGGAUGGGCUCGCCUGCGAGCAAUCGCGCUUGCCCCGCACUCCCGGGGCGUCUAUCGCUCAUUGCGAGCGGAGGCGCACCCAGAGCGCACACGUUGGGACCCGAAAGAUGGUGAACUAUGCUUGGCGAGGACGAAGCCAGGGGAAACCCUGGUGGAGGUCCGUAGCGAUUCUGACGUGCAAAUCGAUCGUCGGAGCCGAGUAUAGGGGCGAAAGACUAAUCGAACCAUCUAGUAGCUGGUUCCCUCCGAAGUUUCCCUCAGGAUAGCUGGCGAUCGUGUUCUCGAGUCUCAUCUGGUAAAGCGAAUGAUUAGAGGUCUUGGGGCCGAAACGGCCUCAACCUAUUCUCAAACUUUAAAUGGAUGAGAACCCCGGCUUUCUUAACUGUGAAGCCGGGGCUCGGAUCGGAUCGCCAAGCGGGCCACUUUUG